rnacentral:rRNA from 1 species
GUGGGGAAUCUUCCGCAAUGGACGAAAGUCUGACGGAGCAACGCCGCGUGAACGAUGACGGCCUUCGGGUUGUAAAGUUCUGUUAUACGGGACGAAUGGUACGACGGCCAAUACCCGUCGUAAGUGACGGUACCGUAAGAGAAAGCCACGGCUAACUACGUGCCAGCAGCCGCGGUAAUACGUAGGUGGCAAGCGUUGUCCGGAAUUAUUGGGCGUAAAGGGCGCGCAGGCGGCGUCGUAAGUCGGUCUUAAAAGUGCGGGGCUUAACCCCGUAAGGGGACCGAAACUGCGAUGCUAGAGUAUCGGAGAGGAAAGCGGAAUUCCUAGUGUAGCGGUGAAAUGCGUAGAUAUUAGGAGGAACACCAGUGGCGAAAGCGGCUUUCUGGACGACAACUGACGCUGAGGCGCGAAAGCCAGGGGAGCAAACGGGAUUAGAUACCCUGGUAGUCC